GCCGGGGUGGCGGAACUGGUAGACGCGCCGGAUUCAAAAUCCGGUGACUUCGGUCGUGCCGGUUCGAUUCCGGCCCUCGGUACCA
rnacentral:tRNA from 1 species